GCCCGCUUAGCUCAGUGGUAGAGCGCGCCACUCGUAUGAAGUGAUGGGAUCCAUACAUGGUGAGGUCGGUUGUUCAAACCAGCCAGCGGGCA